rnacentral:lncRNA from 1 species
AUGGGGGUAAAAAAUACGCGGGUCACAAAGAAACGGGUCAAAAACCCAUAUUCAAUCAAAAUAAAACCUCUGCUCAGAUCAAACUGACGGACUAAAAACUCGGCUCCAUCUUCUUCCCUCCUCUCUCACACGAUAAAGUAGCAGACAGAAGAGCUUAUCAGAAGCAGAGACAAACAGAUCUAAAGGUAAAACUCCAUAACUUUAUUGGGUUUGUAUAUUUUUUCAGGUAUUUGAAAAUCUAGGGUUUGUUCUUUAAAAAUUCCUCUUUUUCCGGCGGUUUCUCGUCGUGGCUGUUGGUCUGCUGGUUGCGUUGGCCGCGCAUGAAUUUGUUUGCUUUCUCGUGGCCUAAUUUCUUUAAUCGUUGCCUAAUUCGUACAAACUCAGAAUCUAAAUGUACGAAUUUCUUUACUUUGAUUUUGUUUUUAUUUUUUUUAUAAAUAUCUCAUUUGUUGGUGAUGUUCACCUCAUCGAUAUUCUUUUUCAUUUCUGGAUUUCCUUUAAUGGCUUUGUUAAUUUUGAAUCUGAUUUUGGAAGCUUUGGGUUUGCUUCAGUGUUCCUAUUUGUAGUUUAUAAUGUCUUAUUAUAUAUCACUUUCUGUGAAAACAUGUGGAAGUUGGGAAUUAGAGCUUUAUUUCUUAUUGAAGGAAUAAAAUCUUUCUGCUCAUUCCAAUCAUAUCAGGCGGGGUUCCUUUUUUUAAGCCUCAAGAGACUAAAUUUUGGAGCAAUGUAUUAGUUUUAAGAUGGGUAUUACUAAUUGUUUAAGAAGUUGAAUAUUUUUUUAGAAAGGUUGUAAAACCCGGAAAGUGAAGGGGUUUUGGAUAGAAAUUAAGUUUAGCCCCUCCCUAAAUGCCCCCUAAAUGGCAGCUAAAUUCUACUGCUCUCAAAGUUUGAUGUUCUUAAAUUUAAAACAUAUUACAAGUCAAAUUUAAAGUUGAAAAAAUAGAAUCUGCCCUUUCUUUAGGAGGGUCAUUUUAUGGGAUCAGUGUUGUUCAAAUUUGGUAACAGAUUAGGGGGCCAGAGAAGUGCUGCAUAUUACUUUAUUGUAUGUGUGUUUGAGUUUUACAUUUUUGCAUUAGUGGUUAUCAAUAGGUUAUCUUUCCUCGGUUGUCCUGGUAUUUAUAUGUUACCGCCCUCACAAGUUGAAUCAUGCUGCUUCCUUUUAGAAAUUUAAAUUGAAAGAUCCCACUUGAAGUGAUAUCAUUGUAUUGGUUCGUAGCAGUUGUGUACUCUUAUAUUACUAUGAUAUCAUCUGGUGUGGAGCUUUCAGUUUGUUUAAAAGAGAAAAUAAAAGAUUAUUAGAUGAAAAUAGUAAUGAUAAGAAUGCAAUCCUGAGUAUAAUGAAUCUUUUAUGUUCCUGAAACACUAAGAACACGUCAUUUAGAAUUUCUUCUCUUUCUUUCAUACCUCUCAAAGAAAUUAUAUUAAAUCUUCUACAAGUUGUUGGCUUUACACAGAUUUAUUCCCACUUAUAUUCUAUGGGACUUCUUGUGAAAAUUUGAUACUACAUACUUUUAAAUACCAGAGCCAAAUGGUUGAAAUUUUUCUUAACUGCAUUCUGAUUUGAAAAUUUUGGUAACUACAUCCUACUUCCUGCAAGCUCUUUAAUUGUGAACAUGGUCCAAUAUAUAGUUACAAUGAGUAAAGGAACAUUUCAACAUGGUAACUUGGUACAUAUUUUUCAACUUGGUACAUGGUAACUAGGUACAUAUUUUUCAAUUUUGCGAAAAUGUGAACUAGGAAUCUGUCUUAUUACUUAGCUUGGAUAACAUGGUACAUUAUUUUCAAUUUUACAUGUUUGUCUCAUGUUUUGUAAUUGUAUUCAGUAUAUGGGGCCUCCUCUGAGUUGCUAACUUUACAAUAUAAUAGGGGAUGCAACUGAUUUGGUAUUUUGUUUCUAUCAGGAAUGGGGCAGAGAGAGGGGUUCCAGCUAGCGUUACCUUCAAUUCUACCAGCAACCACUACAUCUGAAAAAGUGGUGCUUAUCUUUUUAAGCAAACUCAGUCUGGAAUAGAAGUAUGCUGUUGUUGUUAAACUCUGAAUAUUCUGUUUGAAAUUGGGCGUCCUGAUCUGAGAAUCAGACUUUUCCAGGAGAAAUUUAGUUAUGAAAGUUUUUUAAAUCUGUAUAUAUUGUGAUGUAUGUGUAUUUUGGAUGUUGUCUGUAGCUAAGGCUUUUUCAAAAAUGAUUCUUACUAUAUGAUGAGUGGCCUAUUGCACAUGUCAAUGCAUUAAUUGUUAAAUUUGAAUAUAUCACCUGCAUGUGUGAAAAGUAAUAAGCCUCGUGGACGAUUCCAAAUGCCAAUAUAAUAAUGUAGAG